rnacentral:rRNA from 1 species
GGCCUACGGGAGGCAGCAGUGAGGAAUAUUGGGCAAUGGACGAAAGUCUGACCCAGCCAUGCCGCGUGCAGGAUGACUGCCUUAUGGGUUGUAAACUGCUUUUACGAAUGGAUAAACUGUUCUACGUGUAGGACACUGAAGGUAAUUUGUGAAUAAGCAUCGGCUAACUCCGUGCCAGCAGCCGCGGUAAUACGGAGGAUGCAAGCGUUAUCCGGAUUUAUUGGGUUUAAAGGGUGCGCAGGCUGUUAGUUAAGUCAGAGGUGAAAUCCCGUUGCUCAACAACGGAACUGCCUUUGAUACUGGCUAACUUGAAUGUAGAUGAAGUGGGCGGAAUAAGUCAUGUAGCGGUGAAAUGCAUAGAUAUGACUUAGAACACCGAUAGCGAAGGCAGCUCACUAACCUAUCAUUGACGCUCAUGCAAGAAAGCGUGGGGAGCGAACAGGAUUAGAUACCCU